rnacentral:rRNA from 1 species
UGCCGCUUAACGGUACGAAUUCCGAGUAGACUACUCAGCAUUGUCACCGGGAGAAGCCAGAGGUACUCCUGGGGUAGAGGUGAAAUUCUGUAAUCCUGGGGGGACCACCAGUGGCGAAGGCGUCUAGCUAGAACGGGUCUGACGGUGAGGGACGAAACCCUGGGGGCGCGAACCGGAUUAGAUACCCGGGUAGUCCAGGGCGCAAACGCUGCUUGCUUGAUGUUAGCUGGGCUCCGAGCUCAUUUUUUGUCGGAGAGAAGUUGUUAAGCAAGCUGCCUGGGAAGUACGAUCGCAAGAUUGAAACUUAAAGGAAUUGGCGGGGGAGCACAGCAACGGGUGGAGCGUGCGGUUUAAUUGGAUUCAACGCCGGAAAACUCACCGGAAGCGACGGUUACGUGAAGGCCAGGCUGAUGACCUUGCCUGAUUUUCCGAGAGGUGGUGCAUGGCCGCCGUCAGUUCGUACCGUAAGGCGUUCUGUUAAGUCAGAUAACGAACGAGACCCUCAUCCUUAAUUGCUACUGAUUACUUCGGUUGUCAGGCACAUUAGGGAGACCACUGGCGAUAAGUCAGAGGAAGGCGAGGGCAACGGUAGGUCAGUAUGCCCUGAAUCUUCCGGGCUACACGCGCGCUACAAAGGCCAGGACAAUGGGCUUCAACACCGAAAGGUGACGAUAAUCUCGAAACCUGGUCAUAGUUCGGAUUGAGGAUUGCAACUCAUCCUCAUGAAGCUGGAAUCCGUAGUAAUCGCGGAUCAACAUCCCGCGGUGAAUAUGCCCCUGCU